UUGACCUCAAAUCANGGGGGACUACC
rnacentral:rRNA from 1 species